GGCAGAGAUAAAAUGGGAAAUUCUCUACAGUCUAUCGAUAGGAGUGUGAGUUUUAGAACUAUACUUUGUUACUUGUUUGCGAUACACCAUAAAACUCUAUGUUUAUACCUUAUUAUGGUUAGAGAAAGAAAAUGAACAAGUAAGCCUUGAGGACAUCAUAACACAUAAAUAAGUAAAUCUUGGCAGUGGGAAAUCAAAUGAAUAAGU
rnacentral:lncRNA from 1 species